AGCGCAGGCGGUUAUUUAAGUCAGGUGUGAAAGCCCCGAGCUCAACUUGGGACGUGCAUUUGAAACUGGAUAACUAGAGUGUGUCAGAGGGGGGUAGGAAUUCCACGUGUAGCAGUGAAAUGCGUAGAGAUGUGGAGGAAUACCGAUGGCGAAGGCAGCCCCCUGGGAUAACACUGACGCUCAUGCUGAAAGCGUGGGUAGCAAACA
rnacentral:rRNA from 1 species